UCAAUAUGGCACCUCAGAAGGACAAGAAGCCUAAGAGGGCAACCUGGAAAUUUAAUUUGGAUCAUACUCAUCCUGUAGAAGAUGGAAUUUUUGAUUCUGGAAAUUUUGGUACCUUCCCUAGUGAAUAUCUAGGGUUUUCUUCCUUAGUUUUGCCUUUUUUUUGUUUUGAAAUAGGAAUAGUUCCUACGGGAGAAGGUUAAAGUCAAUGGAAAAACUAGAAAUCUCGGGAAUGUAGUUCACAUUGAACGCUUCAAGAACAAAAUCACUGUUGUUUCUGGGAAAUAGUUCUCUAAAAGGUAUUUAAAAUAUCUUACAAAGAAAUAUCUUAAGAAGAAUAAUCUCCGUGAUUGGCUUCGUGUAGUUACAUCUGACAAGGAGACAUAUGAACUUCGCUACUUCCAGAUUAGUCAAGAUGAAGAUGGAUCCGAGUCUGAGGAUUAGGUGGAGUCUUCUCUUACAAGGCUUAUUAGUGUUUCAAAAUGAAAGCCAAAGAAAUAGAAAUGGACUUGUGGUUUGUUGGUGAAUAAAAGAUGUACUUGGAA